rnacentral:snRNA from 1 species
GGAUGUGAGGGCGAUCUGGCUGCGACAUCUGUCACCCCAUUGAUCGCCAGGGUUGAUUCGGCUGAUCUGGCUGGCUAGGCGGGUGUCCCCUUCCUCCCUCACCGCUCCAUGUGCGUCCCUCCCGAAGCUGCGCGCUCGGUCGAAGAGGACGACCAUCCCCGAUAGAGGAGGACCGUUCUUCGGUCAAGGGUAUACGAGUAGCUGCGCUCCCCUGCUAGAACCUCCAAACAAGCUCUCAAGAAGAAAUAUUAGUCCUUAACAUAUAUGCACCAAACACAGGGGCACAGAUAGAUGUUAACACAGGGAGACCUGCUACCCCACUGU